rnacentral:rRNA from 1 species
UACGAAGGGUGCAAGCGUUAAUCGGAAUUACUGGGCGUAAAGCGUGCGCAGGCGGUCUUGCAAGACAGAUGUGAAAUCCCCGGGCUUAAACCUCGGGAACUGCAUUUGUGACUGCAAGGCUGGAGUACGGUAGAGGGGAUGGAAUUCGCGUGUAGUGGUGAAUGACGUAGAGAUGCGGAGGAACACCAGUGGCGAAAGCGACUUUCUGGUCCUUAACUGACGCUGAGGCGCGAAAGCAUGGGGAGCGAACGGG